rnacentral:rRNA from 1 species
AUUGAACGCUGGCGGCAUGCCUACACAUGCAAGUCGAACGGUAACAGGUCUUCGGAUGCUGACGAGUGGCGAACGGGUGAGUAAUACAUCGGAACGUGCCUAGUAGUGGGGGAUAACUACUCGAAAGAGUGGCUAAUACCGCAUGAGAUCUACGGAUGAAAGCAGGGGAUCGCAAGACCUUGUGCUACUAGAGCGGCCGAUGGCAGAGUAGGUAGUUGGUGGGAUAAAAGCUUACCAAGCCGACGAUCUGUAGCUGGUCUGAGAGGACGAUCAGCCACACUGGGACUGAGACACGGCCCAGACUCCUACGGGAGGCAGCAGUGGGGAAUUUUGGACAAUGGGCGAAAGCCUGAUCCAGCAAUGCCGCGUGCAGGAUGAAGGCCUUCGGGUUGUAAACUGCUUUUGUACGGAACGAAAAGCCCCGGGUUAAUACCCUGGGGUCAUGACGGUACCGUAAGAAUAAGCACCGGCUAACUACGUGCCAGCCGCCGCAGUAA